GGCAAACUUAUCAAUCCUCUGAGAAAUCAAGCAGCUUAAGCAAACUGUCUGUCCUGGCCAGGAAAUGGGCAGGCUGCUCAAACACUGCCUGCAUCAACAUCUUUCAAGAGGUGCCAUUUAUAGGAGCUCAAGGUCCUGAGAAACAGGUGAGAGAUGAAGGGAGGGAUGCCAGAUGUUCUUGUGGCUGAAACAGAGAGAAUGAGAGAUGUAGGGUGGGGUAAGGGGGAGUAAACUCUAGCGAAGCUGGGUAUUUUUUGACCUUGUCUGUAGCAUUUCUCAGAAACAAUCUUAUUACACCUCCCAAAGUUCCUUUGCACCUCCCCCUGGUUUGACGGUACUCAGAAACCUGUAAGCCGCAACCUCAAGCUCCCCACACGCCUUUACGCUGAGUCACAAACUCCAUAUGAUCGUCUUCAGGAAGAUGCUCUCUAAAAUGUGAAUGUACAUGCUUAUGUAACUGAUAGCAGUGUGGCAUGAUAGCAAAAAUCUGUAAUAAAAAAUACUUAAUCUUAAAAUACUUACUUAAAUACUUAAACUUAACUUAUAUAUAUACUUAUAUAUAUUGCUAAAAAAAACAUUUCAUUGGCCGUUCAAUGUCUAGUUCGUUUUUUUGGCAAUAAGAGUGGAAAAAUUCAUCAAGAGUUUCUAUCAAGACUUUAAGAUAUGUGUGUAAACUGAUGUUCAAAAAUAAACUUAAAAAUAAAUAUCGUCUGGAGUAAAAGUGUGACAACUAACCUGGUCUUGCAUGCAGUGUUUAUGAUAUUAUUUCUUUGAAUAUUUGCAAUAUUAAUAAUUUUUGCAAUAGUUUUUUUUUUUCACGAAAUUGUCAUAAAAUGAGUGAAAAGAUAAAAACUGAGAAUACUGACACAAAGUUGAGUGGUUGCAAGCAGAAAAAAGAAAGAAAAGAUGCUAAAUGUAUCAUUUGCAGUGGCAUUUGAACCAUGACUGGACUAAUAAAAUACUCUACUGUUUCUGUAUGCACUUCCUGCAUAUCUGUCUGUUGAACCCUUGACAACAUGCAAUGAGAUACGGUCCGGAUCUAGUUUCUAAACUAAAAAACCUAAUUUCAUUUUUCAAAUUUGACAUAGCCUAUCUAUGAACUCGUCCCCGAUUCUGCAGGCACGAAAAAGAAAACUCAGAGAUAAAAGAAAGUCAAACAGGUUUGGAACAACGUGAAGAUACCCCUGCUGAUUCCUGAUGGUGUUGUCAUACUCGCUCUGAUUCACAGUGUAAUGCCAAAGCAACCUUAUCCAGGUGUUUCAGUUCAGUGCAGCUCUGCUGACCCCUCAGACAUGGUGAGAGCUCUGCUGAAGACUGAUUCAUUUUCCUCACCACAUGCGCCGCCUCAGAGACACUGGACUGACCGCUGCCUUACCAGCGCAGCUUAAAAGAUUAAAAACAAACAGCAUGACAGAAAUAUAUCAUGUGCUGUUGAACCAGUCUGACUGAGAAUAAAUGGAUGGACAUGAAAUAGGCUGUCCACUCAAUUCAACAGAGUUUUAAGAUUGGGGAAGGAAUUGCUGUUGCUGCUAUAUGCAAAGGUGUAAGAGAUAUUGAACACAGACUCGAGGCUGUAAGUGACUUAAAGUGUGAGAAUACUUUUGGAUGUAGAACCGAUCCUGUAGUGCAGUAAGACAUGUUUUUUUUUUCUUUCUUCAAAACAAUAAUUUAUAUUAAAAGAGUGACAUCUGUCCACUGCAAUGAAAUAUGAUAGUAAAUAUUGCAGAGAUACUAGUUGCUUCACUUUCACCAACCAUUUUUAAUUUAUGUUGUCAUUAAAAAAAAAAAAAAACACACACACAAAGACUUACAUGAUAGAAUUAUAUCCCAUGGUGGAUUGGAUGUAACAUCACACCCUGGCCUGAAUGAUUACCAUCCACUCUAGUGAUCAUUUUGCAUCAAAUCAUGCAUGGUUGUUGUGCAAUACGAAGCAUCAAUGGCCACUAUUAACGUAUACUGAUGAUUAUUCUUCCUUCACAAAAAUUGUCUUCAUAUUAAGAUCUGUUGCAUGAUUAAAGACAAUGAACAGAAAGAUUUUCUGCAAAACCACCGCCGUUGCUCAACCCUUAAAAAUAAAUUUGCAUUCCAUGUAAGUCUUAAAUUCAUUGCCUUAAAACAAUUUAUAGAUACCAUAAUAAGACAAAAAGAG
ensembl:lncRNA